UACACAUGCAGUCGAACGUACAGCCCUUCGGGUGCUGACGAGUGGCGACGGUGAGUAUACGUAGAUCUGCCUGUGAGCGGGAUAGCCUAGGAAACUUAGGGUAAUACCGCAUAAGCCUGAGAAGGGAAAGCCGGGGAGCCGCAAGGUCCUGGCGCAAUAAGAUGAGCCUACGUCGGAUUAGCUAGUUGGUGGGGUAAAGGCCUACCAAGGCGACGAUCCGUAGCUGGUCUGAGAGGACGACCAGCCACACUGGGACUGAGACACGGCCCAGACUCCUACGGGAGGCAGCAGUGGGGAAUAUUGGACAAUGGGCGGAAGCCUGAUCCAGCAAUGCCGCGUGUGUGAAGAAGGCCUGAGGGUUGUAAAGCACUUUCAGUGGGGAGAAAGAGGCUGUUGUUAAUACCAACGGCGGAUGAUGUUACCCACAGAAGAAGCACCGGCUAACUCUGUGCCAGCAGCCGCGGUAAU
rnacentral:rRNA from 1 species